rnacentral:rRNA from 1 species
GACGUAGGGCGCGAGCGUUGUCCGGAUUUAUUGGGCGUAAAGAGCUCGUAGGCGGCUUGUCGCGUCGACUGUGAAAACCCGCGGCUCAACUGCGGGCCUGCAGCCGAUACGGGCAGGCUAGAGUUCGGUAGGGGAGACUGGAAUUCCAGGUGUAGCGGUGAAAUGCGUAGAUAUCUGGAGGAACACCGGUGGCGAAGGCGGCAUUCUGGACCGAUAUUGACGCUGAGGAGCGAAAGCCAGGGGAGCAAACGGG